CUUUUGACCUCGGAUCAAGUAGGGAUACCCGCUGAACUUAAGCAUAUCAAUAAGCGGAGGAAAAGAAACCAACAGGGAUUGCCCUAGUAACGGCGAGUGAAGCGGCAACAGCUCAAAUUUGAAAUCUGGCUCUUUCAGAGUCCGAGUUGUAAUUUGCAGGGGGCGCUUUGGCGUUGGCGGCGGUCCAAGUUCUUUGGAACAGGACGUCACAGAGGGUGAGAAUCCCGUACGUGGUCGCUAUCCUUCGCCGUGUAAAGCCCCUUCGACGAGUCGAGUUGUUUGGGAAUGCAGCUCUAAAUGGGAGGUAAAUUUCUUCUAAAGCUAAAUACUGGCCAGAGACCGAUAGCGCACAAGUAGAGUGAUCGAAAGAUGAAAAGCACUUUGGAAAGAGAGUCAAAUAGCACGUGAAAUUGUUGAAAGGGAAGCGCUUGCAGCCAGACUUGCCUGUAGUUGCUUAUCCGGACUUUUGUCCGGUGCACUCCUCUAUGGGCAGGCCAGCAUCAGUUUAGGCGGUUAGAUAAAGGUCUCUGUCAUGUACCUCUCUUCGGGGAGGCCUUAUAGGGGAGACGACAUGUAACCAGCUUAGACUGAGGUCCGCGCAUCUGCUAGGAUGCUGGCGUAAUGGCUGUAAGCGGCCCGUCUUGAAACACGGACCAAGGAGUCUAACAUCUAUGCGAGUGUUUGGGUGUCAAGCCCAGACGCGUAAUGAAAGUGAACGGAGGUAGGAACCCUUUGGGUGCACUAUCGACCGAUCCUGAUGUCUUCGGAAGGAUUUGAGUAAGAGCAUGGCUGUUGGGACCCGAAAGAUGGUGAACUAUGCUUGAAUAGGGUGAAGCCAGAGGAAACUCUGGUGGAGGCUCGCAGCGGUUCUGACGUGCAAAUCGAUCGUCAAAUUUGGGCAUAGGGGCGAAAGACUAAUCGAACUAUCUAGUAGCUGGUUCCCUGCCGAAGUUUCCCUCAGGAUAGCAGUAACGUUUUCAGUUUUAUGAGGUAAAGCGAAUGAUUAGAGGCCUGGGGGUUGAAACAACCUUCACCUAUUCUCAACUU
rnacentral:rRNA from 1 species